rnacentral:tRNA from 1 species
ACUUUUUUAGUAUAUUUAGUAUAUUUGACUUCCAAUCAAAAGGACUAAUAAUUUUAGAAAAAGUA